ensembl:misc_RNA
CUGACAUAAUCAAAACUGAUGUCCUCUAUCAACAGAUCAGAUAUUAAAUGGACAGCAAUAAUGCAAGCUUCCCCGCACCAUCCUGCCAACGUGCCUCAACUCUGACCUGGAGGAAACACUUCAAAGGAUGGAGGAACACAGACACUCACUAUCUGUGCUCAUUCAGUCCUUGCUCUGUG